rnacentral:rRNA from 1 species
GUAGGUGGCAAGCGUUGUCCGGAAUUAUUGGGCGUAAAGCGCGCGCAGGCGGUUCUUUAAGUCUGAUGUGAAAGCCCACGGCUCAACCGUGGAGGGUCAUUGGAAACUGGAGAACUUGAGUACAGAAGAGGAAAGCGGAAUUCCACGUGUAGCGGUGAAAUGCGUAGAGAUGUGGAGGAACACCAGUGGCGAAGGCGGCUUUCUGGUCUGUAACUGACGCUGAGGCGCGAAAGCGUGGGGAGCAAACAGGGAUUAGAUACCCUGGUAGUCCACGCCGUAAACGAUGAGUGCUAAGUGUUAGGGGGGUUUCCGCCCCCCUUAGUGCUGCAGCUAACGCAUUAAGCACUCCGCCUGGGGUGUACGGCCGCAAGGCUG